rnacentral:lncRNA from 1 species
AUGGAUGACAGGGCUGAGAAAUGUUUGACUACCAUGCAGAAAACCCAAGUACCACCAUCAAAAGCUUUCCUUGUAACCUCCCUGGGAGCACCACACAGCUGUGAAAAGUGUUCAGUGCCGAGGGGAAAAAAUUACUGCCUUCCAGGAGCAACGCACAACAUGCAUGGCCACAUCCCUGCCCGGCCGGCCCUCAGCCCCAGCUGCAGCAGGUGGCAGCCCCAGAGGGACACGGCGCUCUGCAGCUGGGGCUGUGCCAGGCGGGCAGCACGUCAGCACCGCGACGCGUGUACCUGCUGGGACCAGAGCGAGCAAAGGGGAUUGCAGCAAAACCCUGACAUUGUGGAGAGAGGAGCCCCUGUGCUUAAAAUGGAAGUGGUCAGGGAAAAAAGACUGUAUUCUCUUUUUUCUUAACUGUACUCGAACUUCUCACUAAGAUAGCACCGUCAGAUGCAAGUGAUAGAACGUACAUGUGACAUCAAUUUUGUCAUCAACGCCAAAAAAAAUCUGUGCAGUUUAUAGAAACCAUGACAGAUCUUUAAAACAAAUGCAUUCUUCCCAUCCUUUUUUUUCCAACUUUUCAAUGUUGGCAGUUUAAGGAAUCUGAAAAUUGAAUCCAUCCAUCUGGCACUGGGAAAACAAACAACAUAUUUGUCUCUGUAUUCUC